rnacentral:rRNA from 1 species
UACGUAGGGUGCAAGCGUUGUCCGGAAUUAUUGGGCGUAAAGAGCUCGUAGGCGGUCUGUCGCGUCUGCUGUGAAAACUCAGGGCUUAACCCUGAGCUUGCAGUGGGUACGGGCAGACUAGAGUGCGGUAGGGGAGACUGGAAUUCCUGGUGUAGCGGUGAAAUGCGCAGAUAUCAGGAGGAACACCGGUGGCGAAGGCGGGUCUCUGGGCCGAUAUUGACGCUGAGGAGCGAAAGCGUGGGGAGCGAACAGG